UACAGAGGUCUCGAGCGUUAGUCGGAUUCAUUGGGCUUAAAGCGUACGUAGGCGGGCAUGCAGGCGUCGUGUGAAAGCCCUCGGCUCAACCGAGGAACUGCACGGCGAACCGCAUGUCUUGAGACAAGUAGGGGCGGUCGGAACGAUAGGUGGAGUGGUGAAAUGCGUUGAUAUCUAUCGGAACGCCAAUGGUGAAGACAGGCCGCUGGGCUUGUUCUGACGCUGAGGUACGAAAGCGUGGGUAGCGAACGGG
rnacentral:rRNA from 1 species